rnacentral:rRNA from 1 species
AUUGAACGCUAGCGGGAUGCUUUACACAUGCAAGUCGAACGGCAGCGCGGACUUCGGUCUGGCGGCGAGUGGCGAACGGGUGAGUAAUGUAUCGGAACGUGCCCAGUAGCGGGGGAUAACUACGCGAAAGCGUAGCUAAUACCGCAUACGCCCUACGGGGGAAAGCCGGGGAUCGUAAGACCUUGCACUAUUGGAGCGGCCGAUAUCGGAUUAGCUAGUUGGUGAGGUAACGGCUCACCAAGGCGACGAUCCGUAGCUGGUUUGAGAGGACGACCAGCCACACUGGGACUGAGACACGGCCCAGACUCCUACGGGAGGCAGCAGUGGGGAAUUUUGGACAAUGGGGGCAACCCUGAUCCAGCCAUCCCGCGUGUGCGAUGAAGGCCUUCGGGUUGUAAAGCACUUUUGGCAGGAAAGAAACGUCGCGGGCUAAUACCCCGUGGAACUGACGGUACCUGCAGAAUAAGCACCGGCUAACUACGUG